GGGGUGGUGGCUUAGUAAUAGAGCGCUUGCCUAGCAGGUAUGAGGCAUUCAGUUCGAUUCUCAGCCAUCUCA
rnacentral:tRNA from 1 species